GAUCUGUGCACAAGGUUUUUUAAGCUGAUGCUGGCUCCGUAUAUUGAUUUCCUCUAUUUGUGGAACAAAACCUGUAACUUGAUAGUUACAUUUCGGAGCUCUUAUUUUGAAAGCAGAUUGGAACUAUUAUUAACCCGGAAGCAAUUUUUUUUUUUUUUAGUAGCCGGUGUUUUGCUUAAAAUUCAGGUUUGGUUUCGUACUUUUCAUGCAGAGCCAUGCUUAUAUAUUGUGUCUUGUUAAGGUGGCUUAAUAGACGUCGUGCUAUUUAGUAUCCUUCACAAUAUUUUAUGUUAACUUGUCUCCCGGAAGGGACAAAAGUUGCAAGUGUUGUCUUAACGUGUUAGCUGAACAACAGCGUAUCGGAGCGAUUCUUUGUAAAGAGUGCAUGUAUUACAAACCAUGACAAAUGUCACUUUUAAAGCGGAAGCUGAUGACUUAUUUUUCAUGACUGCUCGUAAACAACUUGCUGGACCUGACAUGAUGGAAGAUUGCCCACCAUCCCCAAAACACCAGCUGACCACAGAGAGCCAUCCAACACAGAGUAGUUCUAUCAGCAGCUGAAGCUCAGCAGCUUUUGGCGAUCAAAGAAGGGUUCUGUUCUGAGCAUCAGAACCGUAGUAUUAAAGAGGAGAAGGAGGAGGCUGACAAGUUCAAAUCCAUUUCUGUCCAUGUGAAGAGCGAAGACAGUGAAGAGGAAGAGCCUCGGUUUUCAGAGCGACAUCUCAACCAGGCUGUGGGGAACAGGAACAAUUUGAGACCAGAACUGGAUCAUUGUUUAGGAACAGACCCUGAAGACAAACCCUCUGAUUUUUCAGAGACGGAUGUUAGUGAUGGAAACUGGGAGGAGAGCAGUUAAACUCAGACCGCUUCAAACUCUGUUAGAAAAAAACAAUACCACUGUAGGUGACACGAGAUCUGAGAGCGGUAAGAUUUACAGAUGCGCCGAAUGUGGUAAAAAAUUUAGCCACAAUUUAUAUCUGUUACGACACACAAGAACCCACACAAGAGAAAAACCCUUCAGCUGCUCUGUCUGCAAAGCAGCUUUUACAAGGAAACACUCUUUAGUGCAACACAUGAGGUCACACACCGGAGAGAAACCUUUCAGCUGCUCCCUUUGUGGUCAAAAGUUCUGUAGGAAGAACAGUCUAACGACUCACCUGAGACGUCACGCUAAAACACCUUAUUGCUGCUCGUUUUGUAACAAAACCUUUCAGUGUAAAAUAAAUCUGAUUCAACACAAAACAACCCACUCUGCAGACGUGCAUUACAGCUGCCCGAUAUGUGGCCAGAGCUUUAGUCGCAACUACGGUCUAACGUGCCACAUGAGACUUCACCGGAGAGAAACCUUUCACCUGUUUUAUCUGUUACACAGCUUUCAAAUGGAAACAAAGUCUUGUGCAACACACAAGGACCCACACUGGAGAGAGGCCUUACAGUUGCUCAAUCUGUGGCCAAAGCUUCAUUUGCAAGUAUGGUCUAACGUGCCACACUCGACUCCACACUGCAGAGAAACCUUUCAGCUGCUCCACCUGUCAGGCAGCUUUCAAAUGGAAACAUAGCCUUGCAAAACACACAAGAACUCACAGUGGAGAAAAACAUCUCAGCGGCUCAGUUUGCAAGGCGGCGUUUGGGAGGGAACAGGGUUUUGUGAAACACACAAGAAUCCAUGCAGAAAGCCUGCCUGUGUGGUGAGACAUCAUCCAAAUCAGGAACAAAGAUCUCUCGUUUCUGUGGUUAACUUCACAUCCUUACAGGCCUGCAGGACACACAUUUUCAGUUCAAUGAAAAUGUCAGUACAAAAGUGAACAAACAAUCACUGGUUUCUUUCUGGAGGUGAAUAAAUUACUAACCUUAGAAACUGUGGUUUUUUUUGGUACUCUAAUUCCUUGAUGGUAGCAUUUUUGAACUCAACACUUUCCUACAAGUGAAUCCAUUUUGUCCCGUUAUCUUCAACAUACAUGCAAAUAAUAUCAUCCCCUCGUAAAGUGGGAUCACCAGCAGUACCUUAGCUUUGUGUGCGACCUCAGCGAGGGCGGUGUGGUCCAUGUUGGGGACUGAGAGCACAGAGUGGAGCUGAGCCUGGACCUCCUCCUGGUGGUCUUUCAGGGUCUGCAGCUGGACCUCCAGCAGCCUGUUUGCCCGAUAACCUUUGUCCUGAACGCUUUGGAUCUUCUCAGGGUUCGUCCCAUUCCAGCUGAAGCUGCAUCAAAGACAGACUCAUAUCUUUUAUCACAGUAGCAUCUUUUUUAUCAUUAAAUGUUGUGAUUUCAAUA